CCCCUUGCAGAGAAGGGGCAGUAACAAAAUUCCAAGUUGAUUGAGGCUCCACUACCUAUGAGAUCAUGGAAAUGAUUUUUUCAAGGGACCCAGCAUUUGUUCUGCAAAAGCUAAGAUAAUAAAAUAUAAAAAGUAGAUAUUGAAAUGAAAACUGCAACAAAGGAAAUGUGGCUUUAAAAAUGAAACCCAGCAAUAUAAUGCAAGUUCUCCUCCUGAAACAUCUUUGUCAUCCAUCCUUGUCUUUCUGCCCUAGCCGGAUGACUCUCACCAUCUCUCACAAAAACCCUAUCAUAGCCUCUCCAGGGCCGCCUCCUCCACCCAUUCACCACAUCAGCACUGGUUACAACAGGCAGUAAGGGAGAAUCGGUUAUGGGACAGCUAGUGGUCUAAUUCUAUCUGAGUAGAAUGGUAUAUAUGGCUAUAUAUAUGGUAUA
rnacentral:lncRNA from 1 species